AUGAUCUCAGCUCGCUGUAACCUCUGCCUCCCAGGUUCAGGUGAUUCUCCUGCCUCAGCCUCCAAAGUUGCUGGGACUGCAGGUGUGCACCACCACGCCCAGCUAGUUUUUAUAUUUUUAGUAGAGAUGGGUUUCACCGUGUUGGCCAGGCUGGUUACGAACUCCUGACCUCAAGUGAUCCAUUCGCCUUGCAUGAGCCACCGUGGCCGGCUGCCACUGACAGUUUUUACUGGCACUUGUUGUAGUCCCAGAUGCCACCUGCUACCUGUGCUGGGGCUUCAGAGUGCCUAGCUGCAGGUUGAGGUCCUGGUCUUGUCACUGCUGCUCGCUGAGCCUGCUUCCGAUGCUGGGAUUUGCCUUCCAAGGGUGUGUUUGGGUCUGUAGAGAAGAGCCUCCUUACACGUCACAUUUACUUCCCCACAGGUCAUUCCUUAGCAUCUCCUACAGCUUGGCCUCCUCCUUAGUCCCUGUGGCCGGUACAGCUCUCAUUCCACAUUCUUAAAUGAUUUUAACCUCCCAAAGGGUUGGGAUUACAGGCGUGAGCCACUGCACCUGGCCUAAAAUAUCUUUCUAUGAUUCAAUCUGUAGGUCAGACCUACCACUCUGCUGUAGUGGUAGAAACUGAACUUCAGUUAGGAGAUUUUCCUGUCUUUCCCACAGGGGUGUGUCACUGUCAGAGGAAGACUGUCAGAUCUCUGCAGCAUGACCCUCAUCCUUGUUCCCAACCUUUUCUGUCAGUCACUGUCUGCUCCCUCUCUUUGGGUGGCUGCCAUCAAUGACCUAUUAUUGUCAUUGCCAUAGAUCCCCUAGCAGCACUCCCUCUCCCGCAGUUGUCAUUCCAGUCUUGCUGCACAGUAUGCUAAGAAUGUUCUCUUGGCUUCUGACAGUUAAAUGUUGCCAUCCAGAAUAAAUGCCAUUGCAGAAUCCUGUCAUCCUCAAGACACCAGGGAGCCAAGUUCCAUGGUAGCGGCUCCUAGCCACAGAGGACAGCCACUGCCAGCUUUCAAUGAUGCCAGUGCCCCCUCACUAGCACAUUCUGCAUUACCUUAGUGAAGGGAACCUCCUCUGGGCAACUCCAUGAAACACCUCUGGUCUCAUGUAAUAAAUUCAUUCUAACAUUCCCACUUCCCUGAGCCUUCCUCUCUACCUUAUUAACUGUAGGCCACUAUGGUGUCCAAGCUUCUGGGAGCUGUCUGGCAGCAUAUGAAGACACCAGGCGUCCUUUGACAGGACUUUAGAUCCCGAGUGUUGGGGGAUGCUCCCUUGUCAAUCAAUUCCCUACCAGUCUUAUAUUGCCCCCUCCCCGCCUGGAUCUGGUACCCUCAAGAUUGCUCCCACAAGUGUUCUCCCAGGCCCUGCAACUUUUUGGGUGACUGAGCUAUUUCCUCCUAGAGUAGGAUAUAUUUCACUGCUUGGGCUUUGCUGAAAUAUGAUCCUGCUUAUUGGUCUGCAGGCAAUGAGAGGAGGUGGAUCUUGAGGAGAAUUAGUGUUAUACUACAGGGCACUCACCUGUAACAGGGGAGAUCUCUGCACUGUCUCCAGGCUAGCAAAGCUGUCCUCCUCUAUCAAUGGGAAGAAGGCAGUUUCUGCUGGCCAGGAUGGAUCAGGGGACUCUAGGGGCUCAAGGUUCUUUGGUACAUCCACCGAAACAUUCCAUGGCAGGCCUCAGGGUUCCAUUUCUUCCCUUUAAAAGCCCACAGUGGGCUGGAUACUGUGGUUCAUGCCUGUAAUCCUAGAGGUUUGGGAGGCCAAGGCAGGAGGGUCAGUUGAGGCCAGGAGUCCAAAACCAGCCUGAACAACAUAGCAAGAUCCCUGUCCACAAAAAUAAAAAUAAUAAAAGCCCCCACUUUAGGACAGGAAAACUACUGAGGAUGCACAAGUGUCCUUUGCACUUCUGCUGCCCUUGUGAUGAAAUCCUGGGUCUCGUUUUCAGCAUGUUCUACCUCCUGGCCAUGGAAGCAAGGUUUUCUUUACAUGUUGCCUUGGGAGAGUUCCUGGCUUUCACAGCAUGCUCUGAGUAGAUAGCAGGCUGAACUGUUUCUUUCAUUCUCUUUCUUCUAAGCUUCUAAGGUGAUUUAGAAAAGCUAGCCACCUCCAUAAUCCUUGCAACAGCAGCUGCUUCCACAUCUUUCAAGUGACAAAGCUGCUGUAUAAGAAGUUUUCUCUUCAACUUCUAUCUCCUAAUCUAUCCUAAUCACAGGUAAGAGUCUUUAGGGCACGAGGAGGUUAUCACCAACUCUGUGUGUGUGUGUCUUUGUUGCCUUCUGAAUAGUAAGUGAUCCACUUUCGUAUUCCUAUUCCUAGGUCUGUCUUCUAGUGCUACUGCCAGUAUUCACUGCCUUAGCUUGAAUCUUCACAAAAACAGAGCUUGAUCCUGGAACUUGGGCACAGUAGAGACAGAGUUUCACCGUGUUGGCCAGGAUGGUCUCGAUCUCUUGACCUUGUGAUCCGCCCGCCUCAGGCUCCCAAAGUGCUGGGAUUACAGGCGUGAGCCACCACGCCCAGCCUGCUGAAACUUUCAACAGCAAUUUCCCACUUCUUCCUCCCCUCAGCCCUGGAAACCACCAUUGUACUCUCUGCUUCUACUUCAAGGAUGACCUGGCAAAGACCACUGAGACGCCCUCAGAAGCGGCUUUAUCUCUUCUCAGGGUAAAGUCUUCUUUCUUUGUCUGAUAUGGGAAUUUUAUUUCUCUUGGUUUCUUUCCAUUUCAUUUGAAUUAUUAUUUUCAAAUCUCGCCAUGGAAAUUAUAAAUGAAUUGCAGAAUUUUUUGGUGGGCAAAUGCAAGAGUCCAUUACCAACUAAGAACUGAUUCAAGACGGCAUCCAUAGAUGACAGCUUUAGUGACAAACUACAUGGCAGAACAUUUUCCUCAUGGGAAAUUAGUUCUUCUUGGAAAACACAGUGACUUUAUAACCAAAAUUAUUUUCAGAAUCUCCCAUGAAACUCUUAUGCCUUUCCACAAGUGUUUUCUAGGCUUUAUUUUGGGACCAUCACCUCAAGUACUAUUUCCUGUCUGGGUUUUGUAUGUUAUCACGUAAUCAAAAGACCUGUGCACACAAUAUACAGCACGGUCUGAUGCUCAGUGUUUUCUUUUCUCUAUAUGCAGUCACUAGGAGGUCCCCCCAAAAAAAUAUGUAUUCUGGACACACUCUUUUUCUAAGAAAAAAAUCUUCAUUGUUGAGAAAGGUUGAACUUACUGUUCCGCUUUUGCUGGAGAGCCACUUUGGAUUGAGCUUUCUACCAGACAUGAGGUUUGGACAGGUUGGUGUAAACAACGUGAAGAAUCUAGUAAAGAACUGUGACCAUCUCAAUCUAGUCCCUGAAGUAGUGGCGUCAUUUAGAUGGAAGAGGAUGGUGUGCAUCACGGCUGGGAAGUGGAGGAGAGAGUUCAUGUAAAGUGAUCAAAAGUGUCUUUGGGAGCCUGUGCGCAUUUCCCCAGAAAGCACGUUUCCAUGUGCAAAGCACAACACAAGGAUUACUGUUCUAAACACAAAAUGCAUCACCACUGCACACUUCACGUCAAUCAGCCCUUCCAUCCUCCAUGGCAGCUUACCUAAAGAGGGACUCAGUGAUUCGAGCAAGUGGUAUGUACUCUGCGGUCACCCCUUUGCUAAGGAAAUAUCUUAGUGUUGAGAAAGGUGACACUUUCCUCCCUGCUUUUGCUGGAGAGCCACCCUGGUGUGAGCUUCCUGCUGGAAAUGAGGUUUGGGCACUUUGGUGUAAAAAAAACAAAGAGUUUAGUCAACACCUAUGGCCAUCCACUCUAGUUCCCAAAAGCAGUGAUGUCAUUUAAAUAGGAACAGGGGUGCAUCAGGGUGGGGAGGCAUGGAGGAGAGAGUCUGUGUGGAGUGAUGGUGAAUGUCUUUGGGAGUGUGUGUGCCUUUCUCUAGAAAGUGUGGUCCCCUGUACAAAGCACAACCCAAGGUUCGGCAUUCUAGAAACCAAAUUCCAUCCCCACUGCACACUUCACAUCAGUCAACAUUUUCAUCCUUCACCACAGCUGUACCAGAAGCGUAGUUUAAUAUCCUCAGUCCUCAGAUUGGAGAUGGUGGAAAGAUGAAUUUCCCAAGCUCUCCAUUUCCUGAAUGGAAAAGGCAAAUGUGAACUCAGGAAUGGGUGCAAAGUUGAUGUGAUGGGCUGCUACUCUGCAGUCCUCAUGUGGCCCUGGUGUAACUCAUCACCACACCAGGGAGUGCCAGCAUCUGUGUGUGCAUGUGGAAGGAUGACAGCCUAGAGAGAUCUAAGACACUGUCCAUCAUUAUAAGAUGUUCUCACUGAUGGCAAAAGGCAGGGUAGCAGUGCACUGGACUUUGGGGUGGUCACUAAUAUGAAACACAUAUCGGGGAGUCACAGCCUUUAGGCUACAGUGGUGGGGUCACUUCUCAGCUCAUGUUCAAAAGCAGAGAAUAAUCAAGGACAUGGCCUGUUGUAUUUAAAGACAUGAUUGGACCCAGUGGGGAGGCUCAUGCCUGUAAUGCCAGCAGUUUGGGAGGUUGAGGCAGGAGGAUCACUUGAGCCCAGAAGUUUAAGACUGGCCUGGGCAACAUGGUCUACAAAAAACAAAAUUAGCCAGCUGUGGCUGGUCACUGGGAGCGCAAGGACUGUGUCCUUCCCAUUUCUUCUCAUCUCAGAGCUCAGCCCUGAGCAGCUUUCUUUGGAGUGCAGUGAUGUUCUGAUGCAUACAGCCCUGUGCUGAGACCUAGCACAAAUGUGAAAAGUUUUCCUGCUCACCCUGUGCAGUCUGUUGAGCCCCACACUAAUCCAGUGGCCUGCAUGGGUUCUGAUCUGGGGGAAGCUCCUGAAGGCAGUGAGGUCCCCCCCUUGCCUCCUCCACUCCUAUUUGGAGAGUGUUUGCAGAGGAUGCUCUUUCGCUGUCACAAGCGUGCCCCUAUGGGGGAGCCCCCUGGACCAGGCUGCUGUCCUGUGUGUUAGCAUCCCCAGGCCUCACAGGGGCCUGCUUCUUGUGCAUGUGCCCAGGAAGUACCCAUCUUUGGAUGACCAGAUCACAGCAGCGAGCUACUCUGCAAGGAAGCACCAGGGGAGGCAAGCCAUGUCUUUCUCAUCUUUGUUCUUUAAACCUGUGCAUUUUAGUGUGGACCUCAGUAGCAUCUAUGUUUAUUUAUUUUUACAUUAAUUUCAAGACAUAAAAUUAAAAAUUCAGAACCUCCUUUCAAGAGCCAUGCUUUGAGUACCCAGUAUCCCAAUGCUUACACUGCAGAGAGCAUUGCCAUCCUGUCAGAAUGUUCUCUGGGCCAGCUGCCAUGAGCCUGACCCAGGUUCUAGUCACUGCACUCACCUAACUCAACAUGUGUGCCUCUAUGUUGGAAAUUCAAGGUUCUCAGAGUGGAGCUGACAGCCAUAAUGGGUCAGUUGAGGUGAAUGGGGAUUUUUUUCAGGUUUUCUGUCUAAUCUGAAGGCUCCCAGCUGAGUCCACAGAGCCCAGGGAGAGUCUGAGAUCACAGAGGAUGGAGCAGGUCACCUGGUGUCAUCCAGUGUUGCUUUUCGUGGAGCAGGAGUGCUGUUCGAGUCACUCUGAAGUCACCUUUCUCUGAUGUUUGUGUCUCUGUAGGUAGCUCUGAGGACAGCUUUCCUGAAACCAGUGAUGACAAAAACUCUGCCAGUAGCAGAGAUACUCCAGGUGGGGCUGUGGCACAGGGUUCUUGGGGACAGUUGGGUUACACCUGUGGUUUCUGCACCUCAGCUGGGAGCUGCGAAGUUAGUAAAUAUAAAAGGAAAUAGGUGUAGAGGUGUGGUUUGUUCUUUCUGCUUGUUAAUGAGAAAUGGAAGGAGUUUUGUUUCCAUGGGUGUCGUGUGUGCUCUGCUCAUCCCCAUGAUUCCUUCCCUUGUGAGCAAGAUGACCUUUUCCAGAAGGCCAGAUCUUUCCUGCCUGUGCCAGAGCAAACAUCAAAGCCCUGGGUUUUGGGUGGGUGGAUAUCAACCUUUGUGAAUGGAGAAUGAGAGGAGUAUGCUGGUGUGGCAUUUAAUGCUGUGCAAGAAGUGAGGAGGGACACAGCCCCUCACAGGUGCCAUGUGACCCUGGACACAAAGUCCUUCACUUGUGUGCCAGGAGCCCACCCUCUCCCUCUGCACUCUGGGGACCUGCAGCAGCACCUUCCUGUCCAGCCCUCAGCAUCUGCUCCUGGUCACAGGGCACUCCCUGGGUCUCCUGAAGUAGAGAAUCCUCCUUUGGGAUUACUCAGUGUGCCCCCAUCCUAGAGACCCAAGAGGGGGGGAUCCCAUGCUGGAGCAUGGUUCUGGCCUCCACUUCUCACCCAGUCCCAAAUCCUUGGGCAAGGAAUGGAAGCUGGUUUUGAGAAUUCAGUGUCCAGCUGUCACCAAGGCUCUUCGUGUCCAGCAGGAAUCCUAGGGUGUGUGUGUGAAGUGGCUGCUGUGUUGCUGUGGGCAGUGGCUCUUACUCUCCUUAUAACCUGGUUCCUGGAAUCCACUGGGCCCUGGACAGAGCUGCUGGGCAGCUGGCACAGGGGUCACUUGUCUUGUCACACCCUCCGCUCUGGCCUGACAGCCUUGUCCUGCACCCCAUGCUGCAGUCAGGCCCAGCUUGUUCCCUGUGUCAGGCCUGCCAGGUGCCCUCCCACCCAGUCCUCCCACAGCUCAGGCAAAACCUGGCAGUGCCUGUUCAUUCACGUGCUGAGAACCGCAGCCUCACCUGAGGAUUAAGGCAGUGGGAUAAGGGGCUUUCCCUAGAGUCCCGUUACAGUGUUUCUAAGCUUUCAGAAGCUUAGUGUUUGUGGGAUUCUUGUGAGGGUGAGUAUUUUCCAGGUCCCUAAGGUCAUCCCAGGCAUACAACAGUCACUCAAUCUGUGACAUCUGUUGUCACCCUGUCCCACAGGCCCCAACUGAGCCCCAGGCCUGUGGCAGGUGCUGCCAACCUAGGAUGCAACCCAUGGGUUUAUGGAGGGCCUGGCAGUGCAGCCCGGCCCUUCCCUCCUGUUUUUUUGUUGGAGAGCAGCAGGAUUGGUGAUUGACAGGAAGAAAAGACAUGGGAUUCAUCAAAAGAGCAGAGACAGGCCCUCGAGGAAGAGGAGGGAGGGAACCACAUACUGUGCACAACAUCCUGGAGAUGGUGGCCGCCUCUUGGAGGAAAGGGAUGACACGGCCUUGGCCUUCCCUGCCUGGGCACAGUUACAGGAUGUGAGGGCUUGGAAAGUAUGUGGGAAGACAGAGGCUCCUCCCUCGCUGUAGGAAGUGAUCCAGGCUGCGGAGAAGGCUCUAGAGAUGAGCACACCGGAGCCUGUGGGGUUGGCUCCACAGCCCCAGGACAGCAGGAGCCGAGUGCCUCCUCAAGUCUCACUCUCCCCUUUCCUUUUAUGGCUGCCCCAUCACCGCUGCUGCUCCCAACACCCUGAAGCUGCUGGAGCAGAUAUGGAAGAGUCCAAGAGUGCAGACGACCAUCAGCAUAUGCCAACAAGUCCUCUCCUGGCACCUGUGGAAAAAGCAAGAGACAAAGCCUGAACAGGUAGAAGAAAUGUGAGUGUGCAGAGGUGGCAUGACCAGGGGAAGGCAGACAGUGCCUGUGCCCCCAUGUCUGCCCCACUCUCCUGCUAUCCCAUCAGGACCCUCAACAGGUUCAAGGAGGAUGAGGAUGCUGACGAGCCUCACCUGACCUGAUGUGACCUUUGUUUGUUAUGCUGGAAAUCCCUACAGGCAGGUGAAGGAUGCCCAGAGAACAUCCUCCAGGGAACACACCCUCUCCAUAGCAGCCUGUGAGCCUGCUAGGCUGAGCCCUCCACAGGCUGCUCUAAUGAGAGAUAGGCUGAGGUGCUGGUCCAGCUACUACAUGCAGGAUUCUGAGGCCACACACCAUGUUCUUGUCUGCAGUGCCACUGAAGCUCAUUUGAGGGGACCCAGCUCUGCCCUCCCAGCCUCCUGAAGCCAAUAGGGAGCAUCACCAGUUUGUCAUGAGCAGACAUUGGGGCUGACCAUGAACCCCCACGUUUCAUGCCUCCUGGGAAAGGUGUGAGAGGGAGGGAGGCACCCCCGGGCUUUGCCAUGCUGGCAAGCAGCCCACCCAGCCCAGCACUGCACACCCGCGGGCACUCAGUAGAUCCUGGUGUCAAAUAGGGGAAAAGCCAGGAUCCAGGACCCCCUGGGGUGUGCCCAGUCCCAGCAGCUCCUCAGCCUCCAUGGAGCCCUGGGGCCUGGGGUGGCCUCCUGGCCCCAUUUCUCAACAUGAGGUUGGAGACUUCUGUGUGUAGAGAGCACUGGCUUGGGCAUCGAUAGUUCUGUGUCUGUGUCCGAUGCCAACAAAAGAAACCCUGGAAGACAAGUCAGGGCUGUGGUCACUUGGGAGAAGUUAAGGGGCACGAUUCAGGGAGCCACUGUUUUAAAUGUAUUUUCCUAUUCGAAAUUUACAUAUACAUACAAAUGUGUGUUUGUCUGUAUUAUAUAUAAAUACUUUAAAACGUAGUGUUUUCUGUAAUCCUUUUAUGCUGGAAUGUAUUACGUGGGAAAUGUGUGUUUUGCCAAAGCAUAAUGAUUUCCUGAAUGAAAAUGCACAGACAGGGUUGGUGGG